rnacentral:lncRNA from 1 species
AGUGUACAAAAACACUAUGGGAAAAACAGCAUGCAUUGUUCCUGCUGAUGAAAACCCAAUAAACAACAAAACAAAGGCCCACUGAAGCCAAAGGAUCUGCUAGAGACAAAUGUGAAGUCCUGUUUAAGAGAAAAGAAGCAAUAAAUCUGCACAGCACUAACAGGACAUUAGCAGCUUCAUCUUUACUGCAUUCUUGGGAAGAAAGGAGAAGAGACAGGACCUAGAAGUUACUCUUCCUUGAAAGGAUGUGUUAAGUGUUAUCUGGCUAAAACAGCUGCAUCAGGAAUGUGUAUGGAAUGAGAGAAGAAAGGAUGAAGCUGACUUUCCUGAAGUGGAAUAGGCCAGCCCAAUGAAAACAGUAAUUCCUCCCAGUAACAGGGGUUUAGGCAAGGUAAGAAAUGUGUGAGAGAUAUAUUCCUAUACCAUUGUAGUGAACUGGAUGCUCUAGUUUUUAUUGGAUGCCAUCUAGGUGAAGUCAGCUGUGUAAGUGAAAAGAUUACAGUGAUGCCUACAAAAG